GACGAACGCUGGCGGCGUGCUUAACACAUGCAAGUCGAACGAAGUGGCGAACGGGUGAGUAACGCGUAAUCAACCUGCCCUUCAGAGGGGGACAACAGUUGGAAACGACUACUAAUACCGCAUACUGAAGGAGGGGAUUGCGUCUGAUUCGCUAGUUGGAGGGGUAACGGCCUACCAAGGCGGUGUUCAGUAGCCGGGCUGGGAGGAUGAACGGCCACAUUUGGACUGAGACAAGGCCCAGACUACUACGGGAGGGAGCAAUGGGGAAUCUGCCGAAAUGGACGAAAGUCUGACGGAGCAACGCCGCGUGAGUGAUGACGGCCUUCGGGUUGUAAAGCUCUGUUAAGCGGGACGCGGUACCGGAAUAGAAAGCCACGGCUAACUACGUGCCAGCAGCCGCGGUAAUAC
rnacentral:rRNA from 1 species